UAGAUUAGUGGCGGACGGGUGAGUAACAUUUAGGAAUCUGCCUAGUAGUGGGGGAUAGCUCGGGGAAACUCGAAUUAAUACCGCAUACGACCUACGGGUGAAAGGGGGCGCAAGCUCUUGCUAUUAGAUGAGCCUAAAUCAGAUUAGCUAGUUGGUGGGGUAAAGGCCUACCAAGGCGACGAUCUGUAACUGGUCUGAGAGGAUGAUCAGUCACACCGGAACUGAGACACGGUCCGGACUCCUACGGGAGGCAGCAGUGGGGAAUAUUGGACAAUGGGGGCAACCCUGAUCCAGCCAUGCCGCGUGUGUGAAGAAGGCCUUUUGGUUGUAAAGCACUUUAAGCAGGGAGGAGAGGCUAAUGGUUAAUACCCAUUAGAUUAGACGUUACCUGCAGAAUAAGCACCGGCUAACUCUGUGCCAGCAGCCGCGGUAAUACAGAGGGUGCGAGCGUUAAUCGGAAUUACUGGGCGUAAAGCGAGUGUAGGUGGCUCAUUAAGUCACAUGUGAAAUCCCCGGGCUUAACCUGGGAACUGCAUGUGAUACUGGUGGUGCUAGAAUAUGUGAGAGGGAAGUAGAAUUCCAGGUGUAGCGGUGAAAUGCGUAGAGAUCUGGAGGAAUACCGAUGGCGAAGGCAGCUUCCUGGCAUAAUAUUGACACUGAGAUUCGAAAGCGUGGGUAGCAAACAGGAUUAGAUACCCUGGUAGUCCACGCCGUAAACGAUGUCUACUAGCCGUUGGGGUCCUUGAGACUUUAGUGGCGCAGUUAACGCGAUAAGUAGACCGCCUGGGGAGUACGGCCGCAAGGUUAAAACUCAAAUGAAUUGACGGGGGCCCGCACAAGCGGUGGAGCAUGUGGUUUAAUUCGAUGCAACGCGAAGAACCUUACCUGGUCUUGACAUAGUGAGAAUCCUGCAGAGAUGCGGGAGUGCCUUCGGGAAUUCACAUACAGGUGCUGCAUGGCUGUCGUCAGCUCGUGUCGUGAAAUGUUGGGUUAAGUCCCGCAACGAGCGCAACCCUUUUCCUUAUUUGCCAGCGGGUUAAGCCGGGAACUUUAAGGAUACUGCCAGUGACAAACUGGA
rnacentral:rRNA from 1 species